UGUGCUAUGAGGACAAUUUCCAUCUGAUAAAUCCUGAAGACUGGAUAUACGCUAUUCUGAGCCAUUU